rnacentral:lncRNA from 1 species
AUUAAAGCUACUGAAUUAUAAUAAAGAUAUGAAUUUGACAAGAACAUGAAAUGCAUUUUGAGAGGCUAAAGAUAAGAAGAUAGAUGCUUCAUUGGACAAUGCUGAACCUCCUCCAGCAAAAUCAGACAAUGCUCUAAUGGCAAUGAAAGGUAUUUUGUGUUGGAAACAAACUAAAGCAACUGCAGCACUUUCCAUGUCUGUUGGAGUAGCAUCGAAUUUACAAUUCAAAUGAUCUCUAUAUGCUUUGUUGUCAACAAAUAUAUUGGCAGUGACCCCUUUCUUUACUCUCACCACAAUAGGCUUUCUUGGUAAGCAAGUUGUGUUUACACAACUACUCAAUUCAACAUUCUGUGGAGAAUAAGUAAAACAUUAGCCUCAAAUAAUUGUAUAUUUUGAUUUGUGUAGUGGCUGAAAUGAGUUUAGGGUUGUGUGUGGUCAUAUGCAUCCAAUCACACAUGAACUGUCCAACCAUGAUCAUCGGUUUAGAUUUCAAGAUCCGUAUAUUAUAAUAUAAAAAAAAAAAAUCAAAAUAUGUAUUGAAAUUUAGACCGUCCUAUGGACGGUCAGAAUUCAGCUAACUGCAGGCAGUCACACUACACACAAUUUAAAUCCCUCAAAAUGAUUACUAAAUCGAUAUUUUUAUUUAAUCAAUUAUCUAAUGACCUAGUUUAUUAAAUUUGAACCUUUAUUCUAUUGAAAUAUCUAGUGCAUGUUUGGAUUGACUCUUUAGAGAGUCAAAAGUGAUCCUUAUGACUUAAAAUUUAUUUUGGUGUGUUUGGAGAUUAUUAAAAUUUGUUUUUCAUCUAGAAUCUAUUCUAAUUUUAAACAAUGAUUAUAAUUUUAACUCUGCACGUAAUUUUUGCACUCAAAUUCAUUAUUCAACUAAUUUUCCUGUGAAUGUAACAAAACACAAAUAUUUUUAUCUUAGAACUUACUUUUAACUAAAAGAAAAUUUACAAUAUCAAUUAAUCAAAAUCAAAUUUUGUACGCAGAACCAAACAAACACUUGUAAUUAGAUGGUGAUUAGGGGGUUGAACUCACCUUGAGCUUUCUUGCAAUUUCAAAGUAAGUUUUGUCAACUGGAACCCAAAAAACAGGCUGCCAAACUUCAGGAGUUCCAUCAACAGGAAAAAUUCUCUCUGGUUGAUACCAAACCUUGUUCAACAAAUUUUCCUCUGAUUUGGAAUGUUUUGUGUAGUUAUUGUAAUUCGAAAACUUAAGAUAGCCCAAUUCUGUGCCGAAAUCUCCAAUGUCUUCACCAAAUCUCUGCUCAAUUAAAUCAUAAGAGUAAGAUGAAAUUAUUAUAUGGGUUUGGCAAAUCAAAGUUAUCACUUUAAAAGUAGUAAUUAAGACAUCUUUAAUAUGAAAUGCACAUGUUCCAAGUCAAAGUUAUCACUUUAAACUUCUUAACCAUUUAUUAGAUUAUAUUUGGCAACUCUUAAUGAGGCAAAUCAGAAUUGAAUGAGAAUUGAUAUGUAAUAUUCCUUGACAGUAGCUGUUUAAUUAGCUCAUGAGCUGUAUUGUAAUUAGUCAACUUGUAUAUCGUAGGCAUAUCAGUCAUGAGACACAAAUCUAGGAAAAACUGUAGGUGCCUAUUUGUGUAUAUAAUCUUCAUAUCUUUGAGAAAUAAAAGACACUGAACCAUUAUUUUACAUGGUAUCAGAGCCUUCCCUUUAUCAGUAAAAUUCACACACGACAGAAAUAAUGGCAGAAAAGAAUGAAUCUGAAAAGAAAAGGCCAUCACCUUACGAUCUCAAUUCCAAUGAUAACCCUGGAAAUGUAAUCACACAGGUGCAGCUGAAGGGUGAAAACUACGGUGAAUGGGCUAGUGCUAUGAAAACAUCUUUGAGAGCAAGAAGAAAAUGGGGCUUCAUUGAUGGAACCAUAGAGAAACCGAAAAAAGAAUCUGAAAUGGAGGAUUGGUGGACUGUUCAAUCCAUGUUGGUGUCAUGGAUCUUGAAUACAGUAGAACCUACAUUACGAUCAACCAUGUCGUAUAUGGAAACCGCCAAAGAGCUUUGGGAUGACAUCAAGGAAAGGUUUUCAGUUGCAAAUGGUCCACGGAUUCAGCAACUAAAAUCUGACUUGACUCAAUGCAAACAAGGUGGAUUGACCAUGGUGGCUUAUUACGGAAAGAUGAAGGCCUUGUGGGAUGACUUGGAAAACUAUGAACAGGUACCAAUUUGUACUUGUCAAGGCUGCAAAUGUGGUAUUGCAGCGAAACUUGAGAAACGCAGACAGGAAGAACGAUGUCAUCAAUUCUUGAUGGGACUAGAUGAUGUGCUUUAUGGAACUGUUCGUUCAAACUUGUUAUCCACAGAUCCUCUUCCAUCUUUAAAUAAGAUGUACUCUAUUCUGGUACAAGAAGAAAGGAUGCGGAAUGUCAUCCGAGGUAAAGAAGAAAGGACUGAGGUCAUGGCCUUGGCUGUUCAAACAGGUGCAAGGAUGAAAGGGCGCGAGAUCAAGAACAAAUCAGUUUGUACAAACUGUAACAGAUCUGGUCAUGAUGAAGCCGGCUGUUUCCUAUUGAUCGGAUAUCCCGAUUGGUGGGGUGAACGUCCAAGAAGUGAUGAUAACGCCAGUGGACGAGGAAGAGGACAUAAUCGUAGUGGAAGUAGCAGUGGACGUGCACAAAAGAGCGUCGUACGUGCGCAUGCCGUCCAAAGUCUGGGAUCUAGCGGAGAUGGAGAAAAUUCUGUCAUGACAGGACUAAGUAGGGAGCAAUGGCAGACUUUGAUGGAUAUGCUCAACACUUCCAAGGUCACUCCAAAUGAAAGCAUGACUGGUAAGACUAAACUCAAUUUAUGGAUUUUGGACAGUGGGGCUUCCAAUCAUAUGACAGGAACCUUACAACACUUGUGUGACGUACGAGAAGUAUUGGGGUGUCCUGUUGGACUUCCUAACGGAGACACUACCACUUCAACUAAGGAAGGGACAGUAAAGCUUGCUGAUGGCUUGAAACUAAAAAACGUGCUUUAUGUUCCUCAGCUGAAAUGCAAUUUAAUCUCUAUAUCACAACUGUCAGAUGAAUCUCAAUGCAAUGUCCAGUUCACUGCUAAUUUAUGUGUUAUACAGGACUUCACUUUGAAGAUGCUGAUUGGUCUGGGUGAACGAAGGGACAGAUUCUACUUUUUCCAAGAAAUUCCAAAAUUGAAGGCUUGCAGAGUUGAAGGGAUGAAUCAACUAGAAGUAUGACACAAGCGUUUGGGACAUCCAUCUUGGAAAACUACUCAUUUAAUUUCUAAUGGCAGUGGUAGUGGUAAGAAUGUUAGUGAGUUAUCAAAUAAAUUUUGUGAUACAUGCCAAAGAGCUAAGCAAACUAGAGAAACAUUUCCAUUGAGCAAUAAUAAAGCUUCUAAUAUAUUUGAUUUGAUACAUUGUGAUUUAUGGGGAGCAUAUAGAACUCCUUCUUCUUGCGGUGCUUCAUAUUUUCUUACUAUUGUCGAUGAUUGCUCGCGUGCAGUAUGGAUUUUUUUACUAGUUGACAAGGAAGAAGUGGCACGAACACUAAUAAAUUUUUUUGCUAUGAUAGAGAGGCAGUAUAACAAAAAGGUUAAAAGUGUUAUAAGCGAUAAUGGAACAGAAUUUAUUUGCAUGAAGAAUUAUUUUGCUGAACAUGGGAUGAUAUUUCAAACCUCUUGUGUGGGAACUCCUUAACAAAAUGGUAGGGUUGAAAGAAAGCAUCUUCAUAUUCUCAAUGUGGCACGAGCUUUGAGGUUCCAAGGAAGUUUGCCCAUUGAUUUUUGGGGUGAGUGUAUCUUGACAGCAGGGUACUUGAUUAAUCGUACUCCAAGCUCAAUAUUGAAUGGGAAAACUCCGUACGAAGUAUUGCACGGAAAACCACCCUCUUACACUCACCUACGCAUAUUUGGUUCAUUAUGUUAUGCGUGCAACCAAGGUACGAAAGGAGACAAAUUUUCAAGUCGCAGUCGUAAGUGUGUCUUCGUAGGAUAUCCUUAUGGCCAAAAAGGAUGUCGAGUCUAUGAUCUCGAGACUUGUGAGUUCUUUGUAUCAAGAGAUGUUGCUUUCUUUGAAACUCAGUUUCCUUUUCAAAAACAAAAAUCUGAACCAACCCCUCCACUCAUCAUUAGUGAAGACAUUGAUGCAGAAAGUUCCAGUGAUCAUCCAAAUAACGAGCAAGGGUCUCUUGAAGAUACAUUUGAACCAAUAACAGAUGCGUUACUUAACGAUAGGGAGGGAACUAAUCGUAUUGAAGUUGUUGUUGAAGAUGAUACUAUUGUUGUUCCUCCAGAAACGCAGGAUGAGAUUGAAUCUUUGGGAAGAGGUUGUCGUGUCAAAUACACAUCUACUCGGCUGAAAGACCAUGUCACGAAUACAGUUCUUAAGUUGAGUCCUCCCUCUCAUUCACCAGCUGAAUGUCAUCCUUCAGGUGCACCCUAUCCUAUUGAACAUUAUGUAAAUUGCGAAAAGUUUUCUUUUCCACAUAAACAAUUCCUUGCUGCCAUUAUUGUGGACAAAGAACCAUUGUAUUUUCAUGAAGCAGUAAAGGAUGUUCGUUGGAGAGAAGCAAUGCAAAUUGAGAUUCAAGCCCUUGAACGCAACAAUACUUGGACUAUGCAACCCCUACCACCCGGAAAGAAAGCUCUCGGGUGCAAAUGGGUUUACCGCAUAAAAUAUCACUCGGAUGGGACAGUUGAACGCUUUAAAGCACGAUUAGUUAUACUUGGAAACCAUCAAGUGGAAGGAAUCAACUACACUGAGACAUUUGCACCAGUCGCAAAAAUGGUCACGGUACACACUGUCUUAGCUGUGGCAUCAGCAAAAGCUUGGGAACUUCAUCAAAUGGAUGUGCACAACGCCUUUCUACAUGGAGAUUUGCACGAGGAAGUCUUUAUGAAAAUGCCUCCUGGUUUUUCAAUAUCACAACCAAACACAGUCUGCAAGCUUCGCAAAUCACUCUAUGGGUUAAAACAAGCUCCAGUUGCUAGUUCGCUAAGCUCUCUGCUGCCCUCAAAUCAUAUGGUUUCCAGCAGUCAUACCUCGACUACUCUUUGUUCACUUUGCAGCAAGAAGGAACUCAACUUGUGGUCCUAGUAUAUGUUGAUGACUUGAUUAUUGCAGGAAAUACUCCUUCUGCUAUCAAGCGAUUUAAGCUCUAUCUUAGCACCUGCUUUCAUAUGAAAGACCUUGGUGUCUUGAAGUAUUUUCUAGGUAUUGAAGUUGCCCGAAAUUCUACAGGGAUCUCUCUUUGUCAACGCAAAUAUGCUCUUGACAUUAUAUCUGAAGCUGGACAUCUAGGUGCUAAACCCGCUGCAACUCCGUUGGAGCAAAACCAUCACUUGUCACUUGCUACGGGGCAAUUUCUCUCCAAUCCUGAGCAAUAUCGACGUUUGGUUGGGCGUUUGAUUUAUUUAUGUUUCACGCGGCCUAAGUUGUCAUAUAGUGUCCACAUUUUAUCUCAAUACAUGCAACAACCUAGAACAGAACAUUGGGAAGCUGCACUUCGAGUAGUUCGCUUCUUAAAAGGUAAUCCGGGACAAGGAAUAUUUUUGGGUAGUGCAUGUGACUUACAGCUCCACGGUUGGUGUGACUCAGACUGGGCCAGUUGUCCCUUGACGCGACGCUCUGUCACUGGUUGGCUAGUGUUGCUUGGUAAAUCUCCUAUUUCUUGGAAAACAAAGAAACAACAUACUGUCUCUCGGUCCUCUGCUGAGGCGGAAUAUAGGUCCAUGGCAACUACUACAUGCGAGUUAAAAUGGUUAAAGGGGAUCCUCUCCAACCUAGGAGUUGCUCAUGAUAAACCCAUGAUUAUUCACUGUGAUAGUCAAGCAACCUUACACAUUGCGAAAAAUCCUGUGUUCCAUGAACGUACCAAGCACAUUGAAGUGGAUUGUCAUUUUGUUCGGAACGAAGUUCUCAAAAACAAUAUAUGUCCGACUUAUGUCUCUACCAUUAUUUUACACCCUUAUUUAUAUUUAGGAUUGAAUUAAAUUAGUAGUAGGUGUAAAAAAAUUUACAUUGUCACUUAAUAGUAAUAGUUAGAUCAUUAUAAAUUGUUGUGAAUUCCGGACAUAAAAUCAUACCAAUACAAACUAUGAUGUGUGGAGCAAAGGAAAAUAGUAACCAAUUUCAAAGUAAAUACAAGCAACAACAAUAUUAACAACACCUAGAUCUAAUCUAGUAAUCAAAGUGAAAAGCACAAAACCACAAACAAAAGAUAAAAAGGAGAGAAGAGAGAAACAAACACACCAAAGAUUGUUCACCCAGUUUGGUCCAAACUUGAAAUACUCUGGAGGAGAGAUUGAUCUCUCCAAUCCACCAUCAAUGAGUUCUUACAAAGAGAUACAAAAGAGUUACAAGAAAUUAGCUUUGACAAGUUCACAAAGAACAACUCUAAUUUCUACCUUUUUUUCCCAAUCUCACCAAUGAAUAAGACACUCAAUGAUUUUUCACUCACCAAGGUGUUUACAAUGUUUCCCAACCCAAGAGAACUCUAAUCAAAGACUCUCAACCCUAAAGUUACCUCCUUUGAUUCCCCAAGUUUUCUCUCUCUUCCAGCUCUCCAUCAAAAUCUGCAAAGAACACUUAUAUAGCAGUCUUCAGCGUCAAAAUUGUGUCACGUUUUCCAUCAAUCGUGUCACGAUUGAUGCGUACGACCCAAUGUACGACCAACCUUAUCCUGAAAAUCUUGCCCAGCAAGCCAAAAAUCGUGUCACGAUUGGACACCCUGAAAACAGCUCUUGACAUUACCAAAAUCGUGACACGCUUGCCAAAUCGUGUCACGAUUUCUCUGCUUCCCAACUUUGCAAUUUGAAGACAUACACAACAAAAAUGUUUGACAUUAAUCAUAUCUAAUAAAAUUGUAUUCAAAAUCGUGGAAAAUAAAAACUUCAUUUUUUGAAAAAGAAAGUAAACAACUAAUGGAAAAUAAAAACUUCAUUUUACACCAGUCCAUAUUUUCUCCUAAUUAUUUUAGACAACACUUUAUAAUCUUGAAGUUGUUCUUCUAUCAUGCUCGAUGUAUCUUUGAAGAGGUACCGGAGCUCGACAUCUCUCUCCUUCAUCUUUGUGUGCAUUUCCUUCAUUUGCAACUCUUUUUCCUUCAACUUGUUACUUUCUUGCACUCUACAUCCCAAUUUUUCUAAAGCCGAAGCUUUUAACUUUGCCGCAUCUUCCAUCAUAGUUAGAUCAACAAUAGCCGAAUGUGUUUCGUUUACUUUUGAUUUUCCCUUUCUUUUUUGUUGCUUUUGUCCCAAUUGGACGAACCACAUUAUUUUCAGUUGGGUUGUAAUCGUAACUUUCUGGCAUGCACGAAUUAGAAGAGGAUGGGUAUGCUCCAGAAGCCGAAGUCUUUGUUCUUUUACUAGCUCCUUCAAGUGAUUGGUUUGACUAUUUAGGUUCAUCUUUUAACAAUCUCCACACAAACUCUUGAUAGAAUAUUAUAUUUAAUAAAAUUAAUAGAAUAUAAUAUUCGGUCAUUAUUGGCUAUUAUUAGUUCCCUGUAAAUAGGCUGUAUCAUAAUUAGUAAGUUGACCAGACGUUACACAAUAGUUGUAUAUAUUCUAUUCAGAUCAAUGAGAAAGGCAAGCAUUUUGUUAUCUUACAUGGUAUCACUCCUAACCGAUCCCUCUCUCUAAUAAAAUAAAAAAAAAAGAAAGAAAGAAAAACACAAAAACAGAGUCGCAGAACUCUGUUCUCCUUCUUCUCACUCACGCACGCACAGUGCCGCCGCGCCCCUCCCUCUUCCUUUGCGCCGCCGCCGCCUCUGUUGCCAUGUAAUCCGAUCGAUCUUCGAUCCUUGACCAGCAGUGCUCGUGCGUCCCUUCCUCCACUUCGACCGUGCCCACUGCGCCGUCAUCGCCCCCUUUCUCAAUCUGGUUGUGUUUCACCUCCGAUCACCUCCGUUUCUCAUUUUUCUAUGCUGUUCUACCUUAACCAUCACUCAUCAUGUUCGAUUCCGACCUCAACGAUGAUCAGAGCAGCGCCGCCGCCUCUGCCUUCGCCGCUGCCGCCGCCGCUGCUGUCAAUUCGAUCAUUUUCAAAAAUGGCUUUCAUCCCGCUCUUGUUGUCUCUAAUAUUAGGAACCACAUUCCUAUUAGUCUUGAGUUGGAAAAGGACCAAUAUGGAACCUGGGCGGAACUCUUCUGCAUUCAUGCUCGUUCUCAUCGAGUAUUGCAUCACAUUGUUCCCUCUACAGACAAAGCACCGCCACUACCUGCAGACGCCGAAUAUGAGCAAUGAACCACUCUAGAUGCCACCGUGCUUUAGUGGAUUUAUUCCACAAUUUCCACUGACUUACUGAUGACUAUUUUGGAACCAAACUCCACUGCGGUAGCCGCAUGGAAUUGUUUGGUAGACAUCUUUCAAGACAAUCAAAACGCCCGUGCUGUCACUCUCGAGCAAGAGUUCUCUAACACCCGCAUGGAAGACUUUCCCAACGUCUCUGCAUACUGCCAGCGUCUCAAGAUGCUCUCUGACCAAUUGAGGAAUGUCGGCUCUCUCGUCAACAAUCACCGUCUGGUACUCCAACUGAUAUCUGGACUCCCUGAAGCUUAUCGUAGUGUGGCCACCCUGAUUCGCCAGAGUAAUCCUCUUCCUGCAUUUUAUCAGGCUCGCUCCAUGCUCACCUUGGAAGAAGCUGGCAUGGCUAAAAUGGCUAACACCGGCUCUCCUGCUGCCUUACACACCACUCAGCAGUGACCUCCUGAGGAUACCUCUCAACGUGGCAACCGUCGUCCCAACAACCCCAACAAUCGGUCUCGCUCUCGUGGCAAUCAGGGUCGCGGAGGGGGGUGUGGUAACCGUAGCGGACCUCAGUCUGGAGCUCCCAACACCUCCCCACCCUGGUCUUCUCCUCCUUGGCCGCAGCAAUAACAAUACCCUGCCUGGCAAUCAUGGGGUUGGACCCCACCACCAUGGGCCAUACCUCCGUGUCCGUAUCCCACAUCUUAGUGGACACGCCCUACUGGCCGUACCGCUCCUCCGAGACAGUCGGCCAUCCUAGGACAGCGUCCUCAGGCGUAUGCAGCUUCUACUUCAUCUCUUACACCAACUGACAUUGAGGCAGCUAUGCACACCAUGUCUCUACAUCCUCCUGAUACUCAGUGGUACAUGGAUACCGGCGCAACAUCUCACACGACAGCAUCACGAGGUAAUCUCUCAUCUUAUUCUCCUAUAAGUCAUUUAAAUCAGAAAAUUAUUGUUGGCAGUGGCCAUGGAAUUCCAAUUCACGGCACCGAACACACACAACUCACAACCUCUAACCAACCCAUUCACUUAAAACAUGCCCUUCAUGCCCCAAAAAUUAUUAAAAAUUUAAUCUCUGUAAGACAACUCACCACUGACAACAAUGUAUCUGUUUCUUUUGACCCUUUUGGUUUUACUGUCUCUGAUUUUCAGACGGGGAUUCCUCUUCUCAGAUGUAAUAGUCGUGGCGACCUAUAUCCAGUCACCCCUCCCAACAAUUUUGUCGAUCUUACGUCCAGUCUAUGGCACGAUCGUCUUGGUCAUCCUGGCGUGUCUGUUUUAAAUUCCCUACGCAAGAAUAAAUUCAUAUGUUGUGAAACUUCUCAUAAUUCUGUCAUCUAUGACUCGUGUGUUUUAGGCAAACAAGUUAAAUUGCCAUUUUUUAAUUCUCAAACUGCUACUCUCAUGCCUUUUGAUAUUUUACAUAGUGACUUGUGGACUUCUCCUGUUUUAAGUUCUGCUGGCCAUAAAUAUUAUGUUUUAUUUUUAGACGACUUCACAAAUUUCUUGUGGACCUUUCCUAUUAGUAGAAAAUCUCAGGUUUUUGAAAUGUUCAAGUCACUUACUUCUCUUAUUCACACUCAAUUUUUGCAAAAUGUAAAAUCCUUCCAGUGUGACAAUGGCGGUGAAUAUAAUAAUGAGCUAUUUCAACAAUAUUGUACUACUAAUGGCCUUAUUUUUCGCUUCUCUUGCCCUCACACAUCCUCCCAAAAUGGGAAAGCGGAACGAAAAAUAAGAACCAUUAAUAAUAUGAUUCGCACUAUGCUAGCUCACUCUUCUGUUCCCCCACAAUUUUGGCAUCAUGCACUUCACAUGGCAACUUAUUUGCUAAAUAUUCUUCCCUGUAAAACACUUCAAAAUCAAUCACCAACACAGCUCCUUUACCACCGUGAUCCCAGCUACACACAUUUACGAGUCUUUGGUUGUCUGUGUUAUCCAUUACUCCCAUCACCUACCAUUCAUAAAUUACAACCCCGUUCUACUCCGCGUGUCUUCUUAGGUUAUCCCCUGAAUCAUAGAGGUUACAAGUGUUUUGAUUUGUCUAACAGAAAGUUAAUAAUUUCGAGGCAUGUUAUCUUUGGUGAAACUCAAUUUCCCUUCACCAAAAUACACUACCCUUCCCCUCACUCAUAUGACUUUCUAGACAACGACUUACACCCCUACCUCAUACAACAGUGGCAAACUCAACAUCCACCACCGGAUACUCCUAACGAACCACCAGCAACAACCACAAUGGCCCAACCAAUCGACCCAACUCCACUAAAUUCACAUACUACAAUCUCCCCUACCUUAAUCUCACCAAUUCAACCACAUCUUCCACCACCUACUCGCACCAUCAUCACCCGUAGCAUGAAGGGUAUUACUAAACCCCGCACAAUGUUUAACUUAUCCCUUUCACACUCAAACCACACCAUCUCUCCCAUACCUAAAAAUCACAAACUAGCCUUAUCGGACCCGAAUUGGAAAUCUGCAAUGCAAUCUGAGUUUGAUGCACUUAUUAGAAAUAAGAUGUGGGAUUUAGUUCCUCGCCCUAGAGAUGCUAAUCUUAUUCGAUGUAUGUGGAUUUUUAAACAUAAGAAAAAUUUUGAUGGGUCUUUUGAGCGCUAUAAGGCUCGCCUUGUUUGUGAUGGCAGGUCACAGGUUGCAGGUGUGGAUUGUGAUGAGACUUUCAGCCCGGUGGUAAAACCCGCUACCAUUCUAACAUUACUCACCAUUGCUCUCUCUCACUCAUGGCCCAUUCAUCAGCUGGAUGUUCAGAAUGCUUUUUUGCAUGGUGAUCUUCACGAAACUGUCCACAUGCAUCAACCAUUGGGUUUUCACGACUCUCGUCAUCCGGACUACGUUUGUCGUUUGAAGAAGUCGCUUUAUGGUCUCAAGCAAGCGCCUCGAGCAUGGUACCAACGCUUUGCUGACUAUGUAAUUACCAUUGUUUUUCGACAUAGCACAUCAGAUCAUUCUCUCUUCAUAUACCGACAGCAAUCCGACAUGGCCUACAUUCUGCUCUAUGUGGACGACAUUAUCCUUAUUACUUCCACUCAUGCCCUUCGCCAAUCCAUUAUGUCCCUCUUGGCAUCCGAGUUUGCAAUGAAGGAUUUGGGUCCCCUGAGCUAUUUUUUGGGUAUUGCCGUCUCUCGUCAUCCUGGUGGUCUCUUUCUCAGUCAAAGCACCUAUGCCUCUGAAAUCAUUGAUCGUGCUGGGAUGCAAUCUUGCAAAUCAUCUGCCACCCCUGUUGAUACUAAACAAAAACUCAGCAUUUCAUCAGGCACACCUUAUGAAGAUCCAUCUCUCUAUCGUAGUCUUGCAGGAGCUUUACAAUACCUCACAUUCACUAGACCCGACAUCUCUUACGCUGUUUAGCAAGUUUGUCUUCACAUGCAUGCACCUAGUACAGAACACAUGCUUGCUCUAAAACUCAUUCUUCGUUAUGUUCAGGGUACCGUACAUUUUGGACUACAUUUAUCACCAUCUCCCAUCACCAAACUCCUUUCCUACACUGACGCCGAUUGGGGUGGAUGUCCUGACACCUGACGUUCCACUUCUGGAUACUGUGUCUUUCUCGGUGACAACCUCAUCGCUUGGUCCUCCAAGAGACAACCCACUCUCUCUCGGUCUAGUGCUGAAGCGGAAUAUAGAGGUGUUGCUAAUGUUGUGUCUGAGUCAUGUUGGCUUCGUAAUCUCUUACAGGAGCUCCACUUUCCUAUUCCUCAGGCUACUUUGGUGUAUUGUGACAAUGUUAGUGCCAUCUACCUAUCUGGCAACCCUGUGCAGCAUAUCAACGUACCAAACACAUUGAAAUGGACAUACACUUUGUACGGGAAAAAGUAGCUCGUGGUCAGGCACGUGUCCUCCAUGUUCCAUCUCGACAUCAGAUUGCAGAUAUCUUCACCAAAGGGCUUCCCCGCAUUCUCUUUGAUGAUUUUCGGACCAGUCUCAGCGUCCGUGAACCUCCCGCUUCGACUGCGGGGGUCUGAUAGAAUAUUAUAUUUACUAAAAUUAAUAGAAUAGAAUAUUCGGUCAUUAUUGGCUAUUAUUAGUUCCCUGUAAAUAGGUUGUAUCAUAAUUAGUAAGUUGACUAGACGUUACACAAUAGUUGUAUAUAUUCUAUUCAGAUCAAUGAGAAAGGCAAGCAUUUUGUUAUCUUACAACUCUAACAUGAAACAUUCAUGUGUAUAUUGAGUAUAGAUUAAUAUGCAUCUCCCAUGACAUCACUCUAAGCUACCACUUUUUUUCUUCUUGGAUAGGCUUGCUUGUAGCACCCUCCAAAUUUUUUAAUUAUGGAAUUCACCUUCGACCAUCGAGAUUUUAGUUGUACUGGUCCCUUUGCAAGGAAAUAACCACAAUGUUCAUUAUAACCAUCUGCAAUUCUUUUGCCAAAAAACAUUUGCUCUUUGAUUUACCCCUGUACAACUGCAUCCUUAGAAAUAUUUAGCCAUGAUUGGAUGAGGAGUUUAUCUUCCUCUGGGGUGAACCUUACUCUUUGCUGUUUUUGAGUUGCAUGGUCUUCCUCAUUGAGCACAAUACUGUCUGGCCCAACUUGAGCAGAAGAUGGUGGAGUAUGAACUUUUUGUGCAAAGUUUGACAUUGUUUCAUGCUUUUUUCAUAAUCAGCGACGGUGUUAGUUGGUGGUGAUUGAAACAUGGGAAAUUGUUAUGGAAAUGGGGGUCUAGAAAAUGAAAAAAAUAUUAGUAUUUUGAGUUUGAAAAGGACGAGUUUGAAGAUUGAGAGGAUUUUGAAAAUUUGAAGAAGAGGGAGAUUGAUGAUUUUGCAUUAUAUUGAAAAAAGGGUUAUUUUGAAGGAGUAAUUAAAUACAAGAAUUAUCAACCGCUAAUUGUGUAAAAUUUCCAACGACUAUUGAUGCUACAUGCAAAUUCAAAUUCAACUAUUAUCUGCAACUAUUAUAUAAUUUAUUUUUUAAUAUUAAAAUAAUACAAUAAUUCAAUAUAGAGAAAAAAUAAAAUUAAUUGUAUAUGUGUGACCCAACAAUAGGAGAGAGAUAGUGCAUAUAAAAACACCAAUCUUUAUGAGUAUCAUAUUCAUUGAUAUCACAAUAGGGUGUUUGUUUAACAUGAUGCUAAAUAAGGGAACAAGAAGGUAUCAAAAUAAAAUUCUUAUAUUUAAUGGUUGUUUAGUUUAACAUGCUUUUCAAUCUAUCUUUCUAAAAUUUCCUAAUGAAAAAAAAUAAAAUUGGCAGCACUUUGACCAUAGAGUGCUGACUGUGGCUUAACACACAACUUGGACCAAUUUGGUUGGACAGUGUAUUUUAAUACAUUAUCCAAAAGCAUCAAAUCUAGGCUUGUGGAGAAUAUGCUUCUUUGUUACCAAGUUUUUUUUUUUUUUUUUUUGUUACAUGUUACCAAGUUUUCUGGAAGGCAGCUUUAUGGAUGAUUUUUAAAAUUUAAUUACUAUGAAAAUAUCGAAAUUAUUGGAUGAUAUUUAAGUAGAUUUCUAAACAAGAAAAAAUAUAUUCCUAAAAUAAAAAAUUAUUGAAAAAUUAGUGGAAUAUGCUUCUUUAAGUUUGUUAAUACUCUAUUUAUAAUUAGAUCGUUGAACUUUUAAACAAUGGAAAAUGUUAACAAAUAUCCUUAGAAUAUUGUUUAAGAAAAUAAAAAGAAUAAUUUUUGCAUAGAAAAUAAUGUAAUUAUUACUUUGAGACUACUUUGCUCUUAUGACACCUGUUAACACGACAUUUAAACAACUAUUGAAAAAUUAUGAUUCCAUUUACAAAUUUUUGUAACUUCGAAAACUAUAUGAAAGUAUCUAAAUAAUUGAAGCAACUUGUAUGUACCUGCCAAUGCCAAAGUCCUGUGUGUGCCCAAUACUUUGGAAUAGUCACAUCUCCAAUUUGGAAUCUAGAAUUUAAAUUACCUGCAAUUCCAUAAUGUAGAACUCCUUCUAUAUUAAAUAAAGUAAGCAACAAUUGAGUUGCAAGACCUGCAUUUAGCUACACAAAAAGAAAGCAAAAGACUAAGAAAAAAGAAAGAAAUAUAACCAGAAGUUUAAGUAAAUGCAUAAGCAAGAAGAAAUUUAGCUUACCAUACCCUCUCCACUCAUAACAACAAUAACCUUCUUCUUUUCCAAUUCACCAAUCCGAAAAUGUCUUCCUACAUCAUCAAAUUUACCAAAAAUCAAUUGACGUCGUAAUGUUCUAUCAUAAAUUUAAAAUUUUAUUGCUAUUGGUGUUAAUGAGCAUCUCAAACUUAAGAACAACUAGUACUCAUCACAAAAAUCUAAUGAACUAGUUUGGAUAUAAAUGGAUGCAGAAAGAGAAAGAAUGCAUCAUAUGCAUAAGUAAUUAUGUAUACAAAUAUAAUCAAAUGUUGUAAAAAUUACCAGCAAAGUCAAAGUAUGGAAACUUGUUAUGUGGCACAAAGCUUGAUGAAUGAAGAAGAGGGUUCAACUCAUAGGCAUUUGGCACAACUAUACCAAUAGAUGGUCCUUCGUUAUUAAUAUUGCUGAUUUCUCUCCAAGAAAGUUGAUUAAUGGCACCAUAGGCAUAAAUGCUAUUUCCCAAUAAUACAAUCAUCACAAGGACACCUAGAAGAAACUCCAUUCUCCUCCAAUGGUUAUCUUUCAAGUGGUUCAAAAAUUAAAAUAUACAAUUGCCCACAUGGUUGUGAAAGUAUUAAAUAAUGUCACACAAGAAAUGAACAAAAUAAAGAUAGAAUAAAUUUGGAUAUGAUUUCAUGCAUGGAGUCAAUCAAUCAUUUUUUUAUAUCAACAUCAUAAAAUAAAUGUGACAUUAAUUUAUUUGUGAAGUCCAGACAAUAUGCCCCCACCCCACAUAGACUAGGCUAUGCUUUUUGAAUAGAUGUCAACCUCUUAAAUAAAUAUCAAUUACUCCAUCCGUUUUUAAGUAUAAGCAAAUUUUAUUUCUUAAGUUCAUUCAAUUAAUAAUGUAUGUGGUUUAUAAUAUGGACCACAUACAUCAUUAAUUGAAUAAACUUAAAAAGUAAAAUUUGCUUAUAUUUAGAAACGGAGGGAGUAUCUUGUUAGUGUUUACGGUUGUGCAUGUGACCCUUUGUUCACUAAAAAGACAACAAAUAGUUAAGAAUGCCACAGUUAUUUCAACUUGAGCUUCAACUUGCUAACGUUGAUUUCGAGGUUGCUUUGGAAAGAGUAGCUGAUUAUUUCAACAAAGGUUGAGGAGAUGUCACUAAAUUUGUUUCCAUCAUGGAUAGUUGUAUCCAAUUCUGUAGGAGGCAAGCAAAUGAGGUUGCACAAGAAUUAACUAAGGCAGCCACAUCUAAUACUAGUUUACGUAUCUUUGAUAAAAUUUCAACAUGUAUUACUGAUUUAAUUUUUAAUGAAAUGAUAUAAGUUACUUUCCCUAAAAUAAGUGCCGCAUUUAAUAAAACAUUCAAUUGAGGAGAUGACAAUACUAUUGCAUUUCAAAUUCAAAAAAUAAGUAGAUUUCAUUAUGCUUUUAUUUUGAGUACAUAAUACAAGAGAAAAAUUGAAACACAUCAUUUCUUUCUCCCUCUUAUAAUAACCCUUGCUUAUACAUUAAGAAAGGGAUUAAAGCUACUAAAUUAUAAUAAAGAUAUGAAUUUGACAAGAACAUCAAAUGCAUUUUGAGAGGCUAAUGAUAUGAAAAUAGAUACUUCAUUGCUCAAUGCAGAACCUCCUCCAGCUAAAUCAGACAAUGCUCUAAUGGCAAUGAAAGGUAUUUUGUGUUGGAAACAAACUAAAGCAACUGCAGCACUUUCCAUGUCUGUUGGAGUAGCAUCAAAUUUGCUGUUCAAAUGAUCUCUAUAAGCUUUAUUGUCAACAAACAUAUUGGCACUUACUCCUUUCUUUACUCUUACAACCAUAGGCUUUCUUGGCAAGCAUGUUGUGUUAACACAUAUACUCAAUUCAAC